GCCGUGGCUGAGUGAUAAAGCACACGAUUUUGAUUCGUCAGGUCGGUAGUCGGUUCGAGACCCACUAGAGCCU